rnacentral:rRNA from 1 species
AGAGUUUGAUCCUGGCUCAGAUUGAACGCUGGCGGCACGCCUAACACAUGCAAGUCGAGCGGUAGCAUGGUUGGUAGCAAUACUGACUGAUGACGAGCGGCGGACGGGUGAGGAACACGUAGGAACCUGCCCUCAAGCGGGGGAUAACCAAGGGAAACUUUGGCUAAUACCGCAUGAACUCGGAAGAGUAAAGCUGCCCGCAAGGGUGGCACUUGAGGAGGGGCCUGCGUCCGAUUAGCUGGUUGGUGGGGUAAAGCCUACCAAGGCGAUGAUCGGUAACUGGUCUGAGAGGACGACCAGUCACACUGGGACUGAGACACGGCCCAGACUCCUACGGGAGGCAGCAGUGGGGAAUAUUGGACAAUGGGGGCAACCCUGAUCCACGAUGCCGCGUGAGUGAAGAAGGCCCUCGGGUCGUAAAGCUCUUUAGGCCGGGAAGAAGGUGUAGUGGUGAAUAGCCACGAUGCUUGACGGUACCGGCAGAAUAAGCACCGGCAAACUCUGUGCCAGCAGCCGCGGUAAUACAGAGGGUGCGAGCGUUAAUCGGAAUUACUGGGUGUAAAGGGCGCGUAGGCGGCGGGAUGUGUGUGAUGUGAAAGCCCCGGGCUUAACCUGGGAAGAGCAUUGCAAACUGUCCUGCUGGAGUAUAUGAGAGGGUGGCGGAAUUUCCGGUGUAGCGGUGAAAUGCGUAGAGAUCGGAAGGAACGUCAAUGGCGAAGGCAGCCACCUGGCAUAAUACUGNNGCUGAGGCGCGAAAGCGUGGGGAGCGAACAGGAUUAGAUACCCUAGUAGUCC